UAGUUGAUCGGUAAAGCAUCUGCCUGCAAUGCAGGAGACCCAGGUUUGAUUCCUGG
rnacentral:tRNA from 1 species